rnacentral:rRNA from 1 species
UACGGAGGGUGCAAGCGUUAAUCGGAAUUACUGGGCGUAAAGCGUGCGCAGGCGGUUUGUUAAGUCCGUUGUGAAAUCCCCGAGCUCAACUUGGGAAUUGCAAUGGAUACUGGCAAGCUGGAGUAUGGUAGAGGAAGGUGGAAUUCCCGGUGUAGCAGUGAAAUGCAUUGAGAUCGGAAAGAACACCAACGGCGAAAGCACUCUGCUGGGCCGAAACUGACACUGAGAGACGAAAGCUAGGGGAGCAAAUGGG